rnacentral:rRNA from 1 species
CACGUAGGUGGCGAGCGUUAUCCGGAAUUACUGGGCGUAAAGCGCACGCAGGCGGUCUUUUUAAGUUUGACGUGAAAGCUCCCGGCUUAACUGGGAGAGGUCGUUGAAGACUGGAAGACUUGAGGCAAUGAGAGGGGUGUAGAAUUCCCGGUGUAGUGGUGGAAUGCGUAGAUAUCGGGGGGGAAUACCAGUGGCGAAAGCGGCACCCUAGCGUUAGCCUGACGCUCAUGUGCGAAAGCGUGGGGAGCGAACGGG